GGAGGAUAUGUUGAUCCUGCAGUGGUGUUUGGAAAAAGAAAAUGUACGUUGAUGGUUAGAUACUGUUCAAAUAAUAUGAAACGAUUAAAAUUGUAAAGUUCAAAUUAUUGCUAUUAUAGGGAGUCAACAUGAAAAAGCAGGAAAAAAAAAGAAAACCCUCUCACCUACCGGAUUGUAAGUCAGAUUAAAUGUAUUGGACAAAAUAGUUGAUAUGAUAAUGAUUUCUUAAUUUUUAUUCAUUAUCUUUUAAUUUAUAUAUUGUAGUGAAAUCGAAGUUGCCUAAACUUGGACAAACACAGGUUAAAGGUCAUACUGAAAGAGAACUACUUUGUUCAUCACUAACACACUGCCUGGCAGUGAGCGGGACUCGAUCUAACAUAUUGGGACUCGAUCUAACAUAUUGCCGCACGUAGUGUAGUGGGUUCGCCUGCGGCUCCCAGUUAUGGGGACCGCGGAUCGAGUCCCGCUUACUGCCAGGCAGUGUGUUAGUGAUGAACAAAGUAGUUCUCUUUCAGUAUGACUUACACGCAUUAUACUCGCCCGUCAUGAUCAGAGGUCUGAUCGGGGUGAAGCAUUCUCUGUUGAGAAUGAAAUACGGAUGUGCUAUGAUAAAUAUUCACGUAUGUACAGGUUAAAGGUAUUCUUUAUAAAGCCGCUAUGCUUUUGCACCAUAGCGGAGUAACAAUGUAACAUUAAAUACAUUUACAUAUUCAUCUGUUCCAUAGGAUCAACGGUAGCAAAUACGUUGCCAUCGCACACAAUUACGACAACAACAGCUUCUCUGGAAAUUAAGAAACAAAUUCCAAAUGCUCCAACUAUUUCAAACACCUUUUGUGAGGUGAAAGGUGUAAAAAGCCUUGUUGAAUCGAAGCCAUUUGAGGAUAAUAACGAUUCGAAUUUUAAUUGGUUCUCCCUCAUCAAAUUGCCACCAAAAAUGUGCAAAAAAGGUAG